UUGAAAGGUGCUUUUAGCUAUCACUUACAGAUGGACCCGCGGCGCAUUAGCUAGUUGGUGAGGUAAGCNGGCUCACCAAGGCAACGAUGCGUAGCCGACCUGAGAGGGUGAUCGGCCACACUGGGACUGAGACACGGCCCAGACUCCUACGGGAGGCAGCAGUAGGGAAUCUUCCGCAAUGGACGAAAGUCUGACGGAGCAACGCCGCGUGAGUGAUGAAGGUUUUCGGAUCGUAAAGCUCUGUUGUUAGGGAAGAACAAGUGCCGUUCGAAUAGGGCGGCACCUUGACGGUACCUAACCAGAAAGCCACGGCUAACUACGUGCCAGCAGCCGCGGUAAUACGUAGGUGGCAAGCGUUGUCCGGAAUUAUUGGGCGUAAAGCGCGCGCAGGUGGUUCCUUAAGUCUGAUGUGAAAGCCCACGGCUCAACCGUGGAGGGUCAUUGGAAACUGGGGAACUUGAGUGCAGAAGAGGAAAGUGGAAUUCCAAGUGUAGCGGUGAAAUGCGUAGAUAUUUGGAGGAACACCAGUGGCGAAGGCGACUUUCUGGUCUGUAACUGACACUGAGGCGCGAAANNGUGGGGAGCAAACAG
rnacentral:rRNA from 1 species